rnacentral:lncRNA from 1 species
GUCACCUUGAGCAACAGCAGUGAGACCUGCGGCAGCCUAAGCCCAGCACGGGUAAUGACCACACUAGCAAGCACUUCCUCCUAUGCCAGCUCACGGGGCUGGCAUCCUGGGCAGCUGCCAGGCACCUGCUGCUGACAAGAAAAGACCCAGUAUCCCAGCCUUUGUGGAGAGACGGGCCGGCUUGGAUUCCUGAGAAACGUGUGAGGUCCCAGGAGAAGCCCUUGCCAGGAUGUGGGCUGACUGGCCAGUGUACCUCCUAAGUGGUACCCAGAAGAGGCUCUCCUGGGAAGGGGCUCUGAGAGCUGAGCAGUGAUACGGUGUGCAGCAACGUGUUAUGGUCGCAGAGCUGCUUCUGCCUGGUGCCCAGCUUGACAUCAUACACUGCCCCCGUCGCCUCACUGGUCUUCCCCUGUCGCCUGCAAGCUGACAGCACAAAGCUGAAAGGCACAGCUAGCCUGGCAGUGUCGGCGAGAUGAAACUGGACUACCAUAAACGUGAACUCCUUUGAGGUGGGUAGAGAUUGUACCAAGGAGCUGAACAGUUGGCGUAUAUAAAACUCCCUCUUGUGAUCCACGCGCUGACAUGUGGGUGUGUGGUGAGCUGCUGAUUUGACGGCGGGUCAGUUGAAAGACCUGGAGCAGCUUGUUGGAGUGGGUUCCACUCGUACCACAGUAUACGGUGAGAAAACUGGACUAUGCUUCAGGGACCAGCCACUUCCUGGACUCAACGCGGCACAUCCUGACUGCUUUACUGGGAAGAGCCCUGUACAAGCGUGUAAAGUCCGCUGCUCCCACGUCUUUGUGAGCUUCCUGCCCUGAAAGGACCUCAGGCAAAAGCUAGUAUCAGCCAGGAAGGCGAGGGUGUCAGGGAACAGCCUGAAGCCCCGCCGGGGCUCAUCACAAUCAGUGUUCUUUUUAAAUGACAUAUUCCGGGGCUGGCGAGGCUGCUCAGUGGGUGCACAAGUAUCAAGACCCAAGAGCCAAUUCCUCAGCACACGGAAGACCAGAUGUGGCAACACAUCUGUACACAGCAUGCCUAAGGCAAAAUACAAAGCAGAACCUCCAGAAACUUUCAAGCCGCCCAGUGCUUAGCCUGGUAAAAUCAACAAGAGACUGCCUCAAGCGAAGCAGAAGGCAAGGGCUGACACCCGAGGUCAGCCUCUGAUCUACACAACUCACAGGGUGGCAUGCACGUCCUCACAGCUAUACACAGGUGCAUGCAUACGCACCCAUGCACUGACACACAUGCAUACAUACACGCACACACACACACACAUACACACACGAGGACUGGAGAGAUGACUCAGUGGUUAAGAGCACUGGCUGCUGUCACAAAGAAUCUAAGUUCAGUUCCCAGCACCCACAUGGCCGCUCACAAUAUAGCUCCAGUCCCAGGAGACCUGUCCCUCCUAACCUCCUUGGGCACUAGGGAUGUACAUGGUACACAGACACACAGAAGCAAAACAACCACACACUUAAAAUAAUUUGUUAAAAUGUCGACCCCGGCCUCAUGACAGACCUCCAGAACCAAAACCUCAAGGAGUAGGUAAGGGAUAUAUAUUUUUUUUAAGUCAAAUAGAUGAUACACUGCUCCGGAUCAGGGGUUGCCAACCUUCCCAGUGCUGAGACCGUUCACACAGUACCUCGUGGUGUGGUGACCUCGGCCAUGAAAUUGUUUCGCUGCUACUUCAUGACUGUAACAUUGCUGUUAUGUGUCAUCCUGUCAAUUUCUGUGUUUUCUGAUGAUCUUAGGCUACCCCUGUGAAAGGGUCUUCCAAAUUUUCUUUUUCCAAACAGGAUCUCGGUACACAGUCCGGCUUAUAUGGCCCAUUUGCCUCUGCUUCCCAAGUGCUGGGAUUAUAGACUUGUACCAAACCUGGAAGAAAUUUUGGUAAUUUUUCUUUUUAGAUUUGAUAGCAUAUUUUGGAAACAUGGAAGAAUGUCCUUAUUCAUAGGCUGCAUUAAGUUCAAGCAUGAAAAGUGACCUGUCAGCUGGAUGUGGUGGCGCAUGCCUUUAAUCCCAGCACUUGGGAGGCAGAGGCAGGCAGAUUUCUGAGUUCGAGGCCGGCCUGGUCUACAGAGUUCUAGGACAGUCAGGGAUACACAGAAAAACCCUGCCUUAAAAAAAAAAAAAAAAAAAA